rnacentral:rRNA from 1 species
CCUACGGGAGGCAGCAGUGGGGAAUAUUGGACAAUGGGCGAAAGCCUGAUCCAGCAAUGCCGCGUGAGUGAUGAAGGCCUUAGGGUUGUAAAGCUCUUUUACCAGGGAUGAUAAUGACAGUACCUGGAGAAUAAGCUCCGGCUAACUCCGUGCCAGCAGCCGCGGUAAUACGGAGGGAGCUAGCGUUGUUCGGAAUUACUGGGCGUAAGGCGUACGUAGGCGGUUAUUCAAGUCAGAGGUGAAAGCCUGGAGCUCAACUCCAGAACUGCCUUUGAAACUAGAUAGCUAGAAUCUUGGAGAGGUGAGUGGAAUUCCGAGUGUAGAGGUGAAAUUCGUAGAUAUUCGGAAGAACACCAGUGGCGAAGGCGACUCACUGGACAAGUAUUGACGCUGAGGUACGAAAGCGUGGGGAGCAAACAGGAUUAGAUACCCUGGUAGUCCACGCCGUAAACGAUGAUAACUAGCUGUUCGGGCUCUACGAGCUUGAGUGGCGCAGCUAACGCAUUAAGUAUCCGCCUGGGGAUACGGUCGCAAGAUUAAAACUCAAAAGGAAUUGACCGGNUGAGAGNGCGAGACGACGACGAGGGAGAG